AAAGUGUUAAAAAUUUAAUAGAAAAGGCAAAAACUUUAAUACAAAGUAAAUAAGUCUACACACACCCUUUACAGAAACAUAUUUGUGUAGUUAAUUCAUUAUACUCUGAAACACAAACUAAUUACUAUUGCAUAUGCUACAUGUACUUCAGAACUUAGUGAUUGAUGAAAAAGUCCUUAUUUUUAUGUGUUUCUUAAUUUCUGAUGAAAAAAAAUAAUUUCUAUAUAUAAUCUUAUCUCAUUUUGUUUGAAGAUGAUCGACUGCAGAAGAAAAGAAGAUAUUUCUAGGAUUUUACUUUUCAAAUUAAUUAUGGUAUAAUCUAUGUCACAAAAUAAAGGGAUGCCACAGUCUGCUGUUGGAAUUCAUCUUAACAAAAACUUUCACAAUGUUGAAUGAUCUUUUUUUCAUUAAAUCUAUGUCUGCAAAUUUAUAUCUUCUUAAUCUUUUUAAAUUAACAACAUUUGUAUGUUUAAGGAAUGUACUUAGGUGAAAUUUAAAAAAUCAAGAAAUUAAAAUUGAUACUACAUUUUGAAGGAGCACCAGUUAAGGAACAAAACAAGCUAAAAAUAUUGAUAGGUCAUGGACCUCGUUUUCGAGAUAUUUGAGUUUAAAAACAAGAGGCUCUCAAGAGCCUGAAUCGCUCACCUGGUAAACAAUGCCUUCGGCCAUGUUUUUUGACGAAAUAGAAAAAUAAAACACAAACUUUAUUUUAUACACCCUACUGAUCAUUCAGUUGAAGUUUGGUUGAAUUUGGUUGAGUAGUUUUAGAGGAGAAGAUUUUUUAAAGUUAGCAAAUAUGAUGAACAAAUUGUGAAAAAAUUGUCAUUAAAGGACAAUAACCCCUUAAGGGGUCAAUUGACAAUUUUGGUCAUAUUUAACUUAUUUGUAGAUCUUACUUUGCUGAUCAUUUUUGCUGUUUACAGUUUAUCUUUAUCUAUAAUGAUAUUCAAGAUAAUGACCAAAAACUGCAAAAUUUCCUUAAAAUUACCAAUUAAGUGGCAGCAACCCAACAAUGGUUUGUUUGAUUCGUCUGAAAUUUUCAGGGCUGAUAGAUCUUGACCUAAUGAACAUUUUUACCCAAGUCAGAUUUGCUCUAAAUGCUUUCGUUUUUGAGAUAUAAGCCAAAAACUGCAUUUGACCCCUACGUUCUAUUUAAAGUAAGGGCGGCCAUGUUUUUUGACGGAUCAAAAAUCGAAGCACACACUUUGUGCAGGAUAAUCUAAGGAACUAUCAUGCUAAGUUUCAUCCAAAUCCAUUCAGUAGUUUCAGAGGAGAAGAUUUUUUAAAGUUAGCAAAUAUGAUGAACAAAUUGUGAAAAAUUGUCAUUAAAGGACAUUUACCCCAAAAGGGGUCAAUUGACAAUUUUGGUCAUAUAAACCUAUUUGUAGAUCUUACUUUGCUGAUCAUUUUUGCUGUUUACAGUUUAUCUUUAUCUAUAAUGAUAUUCAAGAUAAUGACCAAAAACUGCAAAAUUUCCUUAAAAUUACCAAUUAAGUGGCAGCAACCCAACAAUGGUUUGUUUGAUUCGUCUGAAAUUUUCAGGGCUGAUAGAUCUUGACCUAAUGAACAUUUUUACCCCAUGUCAGAUUUGCUCUAAAUGCUUUCGUUUUUGAGAUAUAAGCCAAAAACUGCAUUUGACCCCUAUGUUCUAUUUAAAGUAAGGGCGGCCAUGUUUUUUGACGGAUCAAAAAUCGAAGCACACACUUUGUGCAGGAUAAUCUAAGGAACUAUCAUGCUAAGUUUCAUCCAAAUCCAUUCAGUAGUUUCAGAGGAGAAGAUUUUUUAAAGUUAGCAAAUAUGAUGAAUAAAUUGUGAAAAAUUGUCAUUAAAGGACAUUUACCCCUUAAGGGGUCAAUUGACAAUUUUGGUCAUAUUAACCUAUUUGUAGAUCUUACUUUGCUGAUCAUUUUUGCUGUUUACAGUUUAUCUUCAUCUAUAAUAAUAUAUUCAAGAUAAUGACCAAAAACUGCAAAAUUUCCUUAAAAUUACCAAUUAAGUGGCAGCAACCCAACAAUGGUUUGUUUGAUUCAUCUGAAAAUUUCUGGGCUGAUAGAUCUUGACCUAAUGAACAUUUUUAUCCCAUGUCAGAUUUGCUCUUAAUGCUUCCGUUUUUGAGAUAUAAGCCAAAAACUGCAUUUGACCCCUAUGUUCUAUUUUAAGUAAUGGCGGCCAUGUUUUUUGACGGAUCAAAAAUCGAAGCACACACUUUGUGCAGGUUAAUCUAAGGAACAAUCAUUUUAAGUUUCAUUCAAAUCCAUUCAGUAGUUUCAGAGGAGAAGAUGUUUGAAAAAUUGUUAACGACGACAGACGACGACGUCGACGACGACGGACGCCAAGUGAUGAGAAAAGCUCACAUGGCCUUUUAGGCCAGGUGAGCUAAAAAAGCGGGAAAAGGCUGAUUUGGACUUUUACCUUACAUUUGCAUUAGUAUUAUUUGUGUCUCAAAUCGAAAGAACAAAAAUUAAGAAAUUGCUCAAAUUUUGUAAAAUGGCCUUUUAUGAGCAAUUGAAGUAUUUUAUACAAAGAAAAUGGGUGUUAUGGGGCAAAAAAUUUAACCCAGUACUGAUGGAAAAAUACCAAGGUGUCUGAACAUUUGACACCAAUUUCCAAAACCUCACCUACUUAGUAAGUACAUCCUUAAUGUAUAGCAGCUUAUUUAUUCCAAAACAUUUUGUUAUUAUAUGCAAUAUACAAAAAUGGUGUUUAGUAGAUGAUUUAAGUAAAAUCAUGUUGUUGAAAAGAAUCAUUUUACCUAAACAUAAUUUUCAAGAGAGAAUUAUACCAAAAC
rnacentral:lncRNA from 1 species